rnacentral:rRNA from 1 species
AUUGAACGCUGGCGGCAGGCCUAACACAUGCAAGUCGAACGGUAACAGGAAACAGCUUGCUGUUUCGCUGACGAGUGGCGGACGGGUGAGUAAUGUCUGUGAAACUGCCUGAUGGAGGGGGAUAACUACUGGAAACGGUAGCUAAUACCGCAUAACGUCGCAAGACCAAAGAGGGGGACCUUCGGGCCUCUUGCCAUCGGCUGUGCCCAGAUGGGAUUAGCUAGUAGGUGGGGUAACGGCUCACCUAGGCGACGAUCCCUAGCUGGUCUGAGAGGAUGACCAGCCACACUGGAACUGAGACACGGUCCAGACUCCUACGGGAGGCAGCAGUGGGGAAUAUUGCACAAUGGGCGCAAGCCUGAUGCAGCCAUGCCGCGUGUAUGAAGAAGGCCUUCGGGUUGUAAAGUACUUUCAGCGGGGAUGAAGGGAGUAAAGUUAAUACCUUUGCUCAUUGACGUUACCCGCAGAAGAAGCACCGGCUAACUCCGUG